CACGUAGGCUGCUUGGUAAGUCAGGGGUGAAAUCCCGCGGCUCAACCGCGGAAUUGCCCUUGAUACUGCUGGACUUGAGUCCGGGAGAGGGUGGCGGAAUUCCAGGUGUAGGAGUGAAAUCCGUAGAUAUCUGGAGGAACAUCAGUGGCGAAGGCGGCCACCUGGACCGGUACUGACGCUGAGGUGCGAAAGCGUGGGGAGCAAACA
rnacentral:rRNA from 1 species